AUUGAACGCUGGCGGAAUGCUUUACACAUGCAAGUCGAACGGUAGAGGGGGCAACCCCUCGAGAGUGGCGAACGGGUGAGUAAUAUAUCGGAACGUGCCCAGUCGUGGGGGAUAACGUAGCGAAAGUUACGCUAAUACCGCAUACGAUCUAAGGAUGAAAGCGGGGGAUCGCAAGACCUCGCGCGAUUGGAGCGGCCGAUAUCAGAUUAGGUAGUUGGUGGGGUAAAGGCUCACCAAGCCAACGAUCUGUAGCUGGUCUGAGAGGACGACCAGCCAAACUGGAACCGAGACACGGUCCAGACUCCUACGGGAGGCAGCAGUGGGGAAUUUUGGACAAUGGACGCAAGUCUGAUUCAGCCAUUCCGCGUGCAGGAUGAAGGCCCUCGGGUUGUAAACUGCUUUUGUACGGAACGAAAAGGUCUCUCUUAAUACGGGGGGCUCAUGACGGUACCGUAAGAAUAAGCACCGGCUAACUACGUGCCAGCCGCCGCAGUAA
rnacentral:rRNA from 1 species